CCCACAAAAAUGUAAAGUUUGUGAAAAAACUGUUUAUAUUGCAGAAAUGAUCUCUACAAAUGGUGUUGCUUAUCAUAAUACAUGUUUUAGGUGUAACCAUUGCAAUGGAAGGCUUGCAUUGAGCACUUAUUCAACUCUUGAUGGAGUAUUAUAUUGUAAGCCUCAUUUUGAACAAAUCUACAAGGAGAAAGGAGGAGCUCCCUUGAAGCAUUCUGCAUCAUUGGGAAGGCAGAAUGA